GCUCAGAUUGAACGCUGGCGGCAGGCUUAACACAUGCAAGUCGAACGGUAACAUAAAGAAGCUUGCUUCUUUGAUGACGAGUGGCGGACGGGUGAGUAAUGCUUGGGAAUCUGGCUUAUGGAGGGGGAUAACUACGGGAAACUGUAGCUAAUACCGCGUAGAAUCGGGAGAUGAAAGUGUGGGACCUUCGGGCCACAUGCCAUAGGAUGAGCCCAAGUGGGAUUAGGUAGUUGGUGAGGUAAAGGCUCACCAAGCCGACGAUCUCUAGCUGGUCUGAGAGGAUGACCAGCCACACUGGGACUGAGACACGGCCCAGACUCCUACGGGAGGCAGCAGUA
rnacentral:rRNA from 1 species